rnacentral:rRNA from 1 species
AACGUUAUCGGAUUAUUGGGCGUAAGGGUGCGUAGGCGGUUUUGUAAGUCAGAUGGUGAAAUUUCCUAGCUUAACUAGGACACUGCCAUUGAUACUGGAGAGCUUGAAUAAUGUGGAAGUAAGUAGAAUUUGUGGUGUAGCGGUGAAAUGCUUAGAUAUUACAAGGAAUACCAAUGGCGAAGGCAGGUUCCUGGGUAUAUAUUGACGCUGAUGAACGAAAGCGUGGGGAGCGAACAGGAUUAGAUACCCUGGUAGUCCACGCCCUAAAACAAUGGAUACUAGUGUGGGGUUUUUGGACUGAGUGGCUAAACGUAAGUGAUAAGUAUCCCCCCUGGGGAGUACCUUCGCAAGAAUGAAACUCAAAGGAAUUUACGGGGGCCCCCCCAAAGGGGGGAGCAUGUGGUUUUAUUUGAUGAUACCCGAGGAACCUUUCCCUGCCUUUAAUGUGUAUUGACAGAUUUAGAAACUUAUUUUUCUUCGGAAGAAAUACAAGGAGCUGCAUGGUUGUCGUCUGCUCCAGCCGUGGGGUGGCAUGUUAGGUUCUAUACCGAGAGCAACCCCUAUCGUUAGUUUCUAUCGCGUCAAGGGAGGGACUCAACUAAAACGGCAGUGGCAAACCGAAAGGAAGGGGGGGAUGACAUCAAAUCAUCUCGGCCUUUACGUUAUGGGCUACACUCCUGCUACAAUGUCAAGUACAAAACGCAGCUACCUGACAGCGGAGGCGAAUCUCAAAACUUGUCUCAGUCCGGAUCGCAGUCUGCAACUCCACUCCGUGAACUGGAAUCGCUAGUAAUCGCAUAUCAGCAUGAACCGGUGAAUACGAUCCCGUGUCCUUGUACUCACCCCCCCGUCCAGCCAUGGCAAUGUGGUGUCUACUGCAAUACAAUGACUGACCGAGCUAGCUAGCGUACAACCUGGUAGACUAGUGCACGUCGUAACAUG